GAGCCGGUUGGCCGGCAGAGGGCGGAGGCGUGGCAGGCCUCGAGAGCGCGCCCGUCUCUCCGUCUUCUAGUGCGGCGCCGCCCUUGCCGCCGUUCGCACCCCGGCCGCUGAGAGGACGUCAGCUCGGGUUCGGCCAAUGGCUGGCGCCCACGUCGAGGGAACGCUUCGUGACCGCGCGUCAGUGGAGAAAAAGUUGGAAAGAGACAUUCUUCAGUUUGACUGCUGAAAUGAAGGAAGGAAGGCUGCAGUUUCUUAUUGCCUCCUUAUCAUCAUGAGGAAAAAGCCAGCCCAAGAAUGAAGCCACAUGGGAGGGAAGCAGAGCCAAUAGGUCACAAACACAAGACCAAGCCCUGAUGACAUGAUCUGUGCUCCUUGAUCCAGCACAUGUUGGCACCUUUUGAAAGAUCCGGAAAUCCACAUGUUGAACAUGAAUCUAGGACUGCGGUUGCUGCAAAGCUGAACAUUUCAGAAGAGAGAGGAGGAAGGAGGGAUCAGAAGAGCCUGGUGAGAGGGCACUAGAGAACAUGUCCUUGCUUCACAAUUUGGUCACCAUAUAGACAUGAAUCGAGUAGAACUCCCUGAGUUUGGGAAAAGAUAAAAGCCUGUGGAAGGACAGAUGGAUGCAGCAAGGAGGUCUGUCUAAGAACCCAGUAAUUAUGUGCUGAACAAAAAUUCCAAUAUUUUAAUUUCUUCAAUCAAGUUCAACAAAAAGUCUUUGACUACCUGCAGAGUGAGGAAGACCCGCUGGGCCCUUGCUGUAGCUGGGACGUGGGACAUCAGGACGCAGCCCUUGGCCAUCAAACCUACAGGAAGCAUAGAUGCUGUACCCAACAAGGGCAUCCUUCACGUUCGUUAAAGGUGAAAGGGAUGGCGGCACGUGUUGUUAACCAGGAAAGUCCUCCUGGUGUACAGGACCAACCUGGAGGAAGAACUGACUACGGCUGGAGCUGCCCCCAUUAGGUGACCUUGGUUCAGCCACAUGAGCAGUUUGAGACUCAGUUACCACAUCUGUAAAAUGGGGACACCUCACCCACCUGCUUCACAGUGCUAAGCUUGGAUUCCUGGAUUUUAAAACUUCUAAGAAACAUCCCUGGACCCCUCAACAUUGCUCUUGGAUCACUGGACGGGUCCCAGAUCUCAGUCUUUGAGAUGAGAAAACUGGGAUUUGAAGAGGACAAAGCAUUUGCCAAGAUCUUACAGAUCACAAAUGGGACUGUGAGAUUACAAAUUCUUAAACAUGGCAAUACACCCCCCUCCCUGAUUUUCCUGAUGAGAAAACUAUGGAUCAGAAAGUUAAGUGACAUGUUCGGGACCAGCUAAGCACUAAAUUAUUAGAAGUCAGACCCAGGAAGUCAGACUCCAACCAGCACAACCUUCUCUUUGUCAUGUUGGAGGAUCCUUUUGUGCCAGAAGUAAUGGAUAGAGUGGGACAGCGGGCAAAGAUGCAGAGCUGGAGAAACUGAGAGGCUACUGGCUCCGCAUAUACAUGAAUGUGAAGCUGCCUAGAGAAAACCAAAAGAGCCGAGGGUGAGAACGAGAGUGAAACCUGGAUAUAAUGGACAAUGCAUUUAUUCACAUGGAACUCAGCACCUCCCUGCUCCACACCAAAUAAUCCAGGCAUGGUCAGGCAAGUAUGGCUACCCAGGAAAUUGGAAUGCUUUAGCCAGGACCUCGGCGGGGCCAUGAAUGCCUGUCUGUAGUACAGCAUCAGUAACAGUUCUUUCCUGUGGCAACUUGGAAAAGGUAUCAUGCCUUCUACACAGAAGAUUCUUAAUAAAUAUUUGAUAGAUUUUCAAUAAAUAUCUGAUGAAUUGAGUUGGGGCUAUAUGUCAGAGGCUAUAUGACCAGUUUUCGGCAAUGGAAAGUAGGUACCUUCAGGCUGUGCUCCCGAAUACUGCCA